GGCCCGUUAGCUCAGUUGGUUAGAGCGUCAGCACGAAGGUCGUGGGUUCGAUCCCCUCACGGGCCA